AUGCUUGCUUCUGCAGCACAUCUACAAAAGUUAGAAUGAUCCAGAGAUGAUUAGCCUGGUUGCUGCACAAGGAUGACAUGCAAAUUUGUGAAAACCGUAUGUCAUUU
ensembl:snRNA U6 U6 spliceosomal RNA